UGGUGGCUAUAGCAAGGAGGUCACACCUGUUCCCAUGCCGAACACAGAAGUUAAGCUCCUUAGCGUCGAUGGUAGUCGAACUUACGUUCCG
rnacentral:rRNA from 1 species